CACGGAUUAAGAACUGCAUUGUUUUGAUGCUUUCAGAACCGGUAGGUCAAAAUUCUAAGAAACCGAAAGUCGAAGUGGAAUCAGGGACCAAAAGUGGCGAAUCUGGUCCAGUUGUGGUAAUAUCUGAAGCACUUGCAAAUUUUUUUGGUAUGGGUGGAAGAGAGAUGCUGCAUUCUGAAGUCAUAAGACGUGUUUGGGAAUACAUAAAGUUCAACCAACUCGGGGAUCCUCUGAGUUCCAUGGUGAUCCAAUGUGAUACAAAGCUUCAAGAGCUGUUUGGAUGUGCAACCAUUUCUACAUUGGGGA